rnacentral:rRNA from 1 species
CCUGGCGGCCAUAGCGAAUGGGAACCACCUGAAUCCAUCCCGAACUCAGAAGUGAAAACGUUCAGCGCCGAUGAUAGUGCGGGGUCUCCCCG